CCCUGGUUAGCACAUUUGGUAGAGCGCUCGACUGCCAAUUGAGAGGUCCCGGGUUUCGAUACCCGGACCAGACG
rnacentral:tRNA from 1 species